AGUAAUAUUUAUGUCCGUUGCGUUAUGUUAAUUAGUGCCAGUUGAUGACAACGCUCCCGGAUCCGGGAUGGGUAGUUACAAGAGUUAAUUAACUACAAAUUCUAUCUUUUGGGAGGGGCAGAACACAGUUUUCAACCAGCAAUUGAGUUGUGAGACUCUGCUGAAGAGCUCAUCACUCCCCCUAACUGGGAGGGGGCCAGAGACAAUUUCUCUGCUCUACUGGUAGUACUGCUACUACCAGCAGUACUAUACCUGCACCUNNNNNNNNNNAAUUCAGUCCUCAAAACGCAAACUUUUUUCCAAAUUAACUCCAUAAUAUCGACUGAAAACAUGGCAAACGUUGUUUAGAAUCAAUCCUCAAGGUGUUUUUCACAUAUCUCUUCGAUGAUAUAUCGUUCGUGGAAGUGUGCUUUCUCUCCUGAAUCCCAGGAGAAAAUGCCCGCACCUGAAGAUUACGCACAAAUUUAGACAAAGGACACCAGGCGGACCCCUGGAAAAUGUAGUCUCUUAUGGCCAAUCUUCCAAUGAUAUGCCUACAAAUACGUCACAAUGCUGCCGACAUCUUGGGGAAACGGCAGAAGUUGCAGGCAGAUUGAUCCACUGGAAAGCACCUUUUCGGGAGGUAGACAAGGACAGAGCGGUGGUGCACGUCUCAGAGGCUUUGAGACCCAGGGCUUGCCGAGCUAGUGGGUUGCUGCCAAAAACCAACACGGAAAGAGCCUGAAACAGUUUGCCUGGGUGGCAGCAUCACAUCUUCAGACCCAGGAAAAUGGCACGCCUGGGAGGCAGUCAAAACCAGAAAGCUGCAUGCUUGGGGGACAGUCACUUACAUUAAACAGCACAGCGGCAGGCCUGAAUGGUUUCUGGAACUUAAGAGGAGCGCGCUGCAUUAGGGGCUGAGAUGGACUAAUAAGGGAGCCUGGGUUGCAUCAUCGGCCAAUAAUAGCUCACCACGAGGAAAGGGCUGUAAGAAGAACAGUAAGACCCAGCAGAGCGCGGUGAUCAGAACAAUCCACUGGUGAGUUCUCUGGUUCCUUCCCACUUGGCCCUUUCUCGCCGCCUUAUGAUGCAGUGGGUGAAACAACAGAAGUAGUAGGAAUAGGGCCUGGUUGGAUAGCUCAGAGCUUCAGCUCUUUUAUAUAUGUAUCUGCACAUGGAAUUUGAGGAGUAGGGGCAAAGUUAUCUCAAGGUUUAUGGUAUAGAGUUAGGGUGCUCUUAAGGUGCUCUUGAGUCAAGGAGUUUCUCAAAACGCGGUCGACUAACUUAUUUCCCAACAUGAGUAGCCUGAGUAAACCAGUCCAUCCACUGCCUCUUGUGUGUUGUCUGGCUGUGGCGUUAAUCCACUGGAAGCUCCCUGUACCCCUGACCCUUUGAUUGGCUAAUCCUCUUUGACCCGCCAGGUGGCGUGAGGGUUUCUGGGAGAGAGAUUCAAAGUGGAGGAGGAGCUAGACUGUCCGAGAUCGAAGUGACUGAUCCAACUGAACAGGGCCCAUGUUCAAAAACCAUCUCUUAGUAGGAAUGCUGAUGGAGGAUCAGGUCCUCCUUUUCCAUAUAAUCCUAUUCAUUAUGAUCUAUUAAAGGUUAAACUGAUCCAAGAUCAGCACUCUUUAUGAAUACGCGACCUGGUCCUUUGUUCGAGCCCUUUUCUGUAUGCCUUUUAACAUGACUGUGCUAGUGCACUCCGGAUUGUUUGUUUGUGGGGCUAUGGCUAUAUCCCACUACUGACACCAAUCUGGCACAUUUGGUGUGGACACACCUCGGAGUUGAUGUUUGACUGUUGUACGUCAUAGUCUAAGACAAAAUCAGAAACCAGAACCCUAGGCCGACCAAUCAGAGAGGCUCCUGCCAUGGAGAGUUCACCUUACGGAACUUGUGGAAAGCUAUGUGUUUGUGUGUUUGUGAGCGUGCUAGCAUGUGUGCUUCUGUGUGUGCUCGCAUCUGUGUGUGCGUUUGUGUCCGUCUGUCUGUGUGCAUGUGUUAGGGCUGGGACUAUACCAGUAUUAUGAUAAUUGUUAGUAUCAUGGCAAGGAAACAAAACACAAAGUGUAUGUAACUUUUUUGGGGGAAAACAUCCCUAAUGUUGGAAACAAACAUUAUGUUGUCAUCCAGACUCACGUGUUUAUUUUUUUUACAAGCAGCAGGUUUUUGAAGGACCAAAGAGUUUGGUAUGCUUCGCGUUUACAUUUUUUGGCAUGGAAAGAAUAUUGUGAUACUGGUAUCGUCAAAGUGUCUGUGUCUGUCUCUGUGUGUGUGUGUCCGUGCCUGCUGAAGCUCAGCGUGUGUCCAGACUACAGAGUGCAAACCGGGUUAAAGGUAGAUGCUUUCAUCAUACAGAUCAAUGUUACCAGUCAGAGACGACAAGCAGGUCGCCUGGAGAAUCUAUGACACUUGCCUAUAUCCCUACAACUAGUGUUGUCACGAUACCAGAAUUUUGACUUGGAUACCUACACCAGGUUUAGUAUCGCACUAUACAAUACCAAAACAAUACCACACAAAAAAAAUGCGCAUUAGCCAAAGUCACAGAAUGGCACUUGAUCCAGACAAAAAAAACUCAGCUACUGCUCUUUCAUUCCAUUUGAAUUUUUUUCUGUCAAUUAUUGAGGCAGCCAUGUAUGCAUUAAUUUAAUCAAUUAUACAAUAAAUGUUACUUUUAGUUUUACCAAUCUAAUUGAAAAACAGCAUAAUGCUAAUCAUUUAUUUGAAUGGUAAGUCUCUAUUGAUAAACUGAGUAAAUCAAAAGGUAGCCUGUAUUGACAAUACUUUACAAUACAGGUCAGUGCAUAUUAUUCAAUAGCAGUAUGUGCAUGCAUUGAUUUUUAUUGAGCUUGUUUUAG
rnacentral:lncRNA from 13 species